rnacentral:sRNA from 1 species
AGCCCAAGCCUUGCUUCUCCGCUCCCGGAGAACCACCACCUACAGUUCAAUUUGAAUGCGGUUGGUUUGUGACCAUCUUAACAUUCUUCUCUGUUGCCGGGUUCAGCUCAACAUUCUCUAUACAACAGCGUGGACUGUUCAUUUUGCUACAUAAAUACAACACAAUCCACUCGUUCACUGCCUGUUGUUCACGCUCCCUCUAACCUGCAUCCCGAAAAAGAUCGAAGCAGGCAUGAUUCGGAUACUAGAUCAGCCUGCCUGCCUGCCAAUCGUGUUGUGUAUGAAACGUUACUAUCGCCUUCACUGCCUUCAGCCACUAUCUUGAUUUCAUCUUUGAGAGAAAGAGCGGCCAGCUCGUCUAAGUUCUCAGUUCGUUCUAUCUCAUGCCUUUCCUUUGUGAAGAAAGGCUCCUGCGAUGAUGAACAAUCGCUCUUUCCAUCUUCGCUAUUAUGAUCAUCAUUUUAUUAUUUAUUGUUUGUUUUAAUUCUGAUUCCCUUUUUUCUUUUCUAUUCUCAUCACUAUCUUGAGAAUCAAACAGUACUUCAUAUUAAACAAAACAACUCAGUACAACACACUCUUCUUCUUCUUCUACUUCUACUUCUUCUACUUCUUCUUCUCCUUCUUCUUCUUCUAUUUUUUUUAUUUUUUUCUGGAGGAUGGCGAACUGGACCGCUAUCGGAGCAGUGGCGGCGGUGGUGGCCGCUGUAUUGGGGGU